GUGGAAGAUGUAAGAGACAGAAAUACUAAGUCUAUGAUUAUUCGUUUCAAAAUAGCUUGAAGGGAAGUCAAAUAUUUAUUGAAUAAGAUAAAACAAAGACUUAUAAAAUCAAGUUGUUUGGCGUGUUGUUGCUCUCCACCAAGAAGGACACAGUGUAGACGUAAGAAAAAGUCAAGCCAUCUCCCUGGAACUACACUACUGUAGAUGAAGCUCUAUAAACAGUCGCUACAGAGAUGUUACUAAAUGUAUAUUAAUGUAUCAAACGGUCAGGAGCAGAGGUAAAUUCAAUUCACUCUUAGGACUCUUAUUCUAAACAUUGUCACUUCUCUAAAUCUAAACACUCUAGAUUUAAAUUCUCUAAGCUCUAAAGUCUAUAACCAUGCGGGUGGACAAUGUCAACUCUCUACGCUCGCUAAACUUAUAUUCUUUAAUUUUCUAACUCAAAACUGCUUGCAUAUUUUCCACUAUUUUACCUUGACGAUUUCUUGACGCUAUUCUAUCCAUCACUUUUGGAAUUGUACUUUAAAAUAGAUUCUUGUGUUCAAUAUCUUGAUAUGACCUAUGGUGUCGUGAACACAUCAUGUAGUCUACAUUUAGUAUGGCGUAUUUUUCCCCCCUUGCUUUGGUUGCUGGAGCUGGUCAGCGUUAUUAUUAGAAAAGGAUGAAAUGACGUCAUCUUUUUUGCACUUUUCACCUAGCCAGAAAGGAUAAAUAUAAAAUGAGGGAUGGGGGUCGGAUGUUCCUUUUGAAAUGUACCAUGAGAAAAGGGUAUGAGGGCCUAAAGGCAUAUACAUAUAUGCCUAUAUAUAUAUUUAUAUCCUUCUUUUUUGGUUGGGAGGGAGUGACUGGGUAUUCCUUCUAUUUUUCCUCAUGACCAAUGCCCAGGUCAAUAAAAAGUAGAAAAAAAAAAAAAAACAUAAAAAAAAA
rnacentral:sRNA from 1 species